ACAAUUUAAAAAACCUUUCAUUUUCUUGAUAUCGGUUAAAACCAACAUUGCCGUGAAUAAAAAUACUAAAUGAUAAAUAUUUGGUAUAGUUGAUACAUUAAUAUACGUGCAGAAAUGAAUGUAUAUACAAAUUUCACUAGAAGAUCAUAUCCAUAGUGGCAUCACUCGUUAGCCUUAUAGAUAUCAAUACAAGGACUCACACGUAUUUGAAAAAACAACUUGUAUCUAAGUUGUACUUCUGAGCAGCUUUGGUUGGGCUGAUUUGCCAAGUUACCUUUCGAAACUUCUUGAUUCCGAAGUUAUAUUUUCCUUGGGCAUUCCAUAACAGCAACAUUCCAAAGACUCGAAGACAGAAAAAAUUGCAGACCUUGCAACUGGGAAUCACUGCCUUUAUUAUCUCCGCUGCUGUUAUCGGCCUCUUGAAUUCUUUUUACAGUAUGUCUUACAGUAUUUUUGGGCAACUAAUCAUCGGCAAGAACAAUUUGUGCUCGACAAACACUGAUUUACUGAGAUAUGAUGGUAUCCCUGACACCUGAGAGUUCAAUAUUUAGGAAGUCGGGUAUCAGUUCGAUAAUUAAUACCUUACUAUAGAAUGCGGAACAGACAGUCUUAAUGAUCUAUAAAGACUUAUACCACACAAAAUUGACAGAGCAAAACAUGACCAUUUACAUUACAGUAUGCAGAGUAAAAUAAUCAAAUUUGUGAAAGAAACAAGGUAGUACGAACUAUGAAGCAAUAAUCCAAUUAUUAUGCAAAGAAACCCAUACAUAAUCUUCUAGUGGAAGACUAUCAACUUAACUGAUACAAAAUCUCAUUCUCAAAAGCCGCUUUAUCCGAAAACCAAUGCAAAAUAUUAAUUCACUCAGAAUCUUCCUGUUACAGGACUGAUUAGACAAGAGUACAGAAAUAUGCCUGUGAGAUAGAGGAAGAGAAAGGAAGGGAGGGAUAGGCUUACUCAUUUAGCUUACGAACAUCAACGGCUUGGUAAUGCAUAUGAGCCAUCUGGAGUAGCCAUUAACAUAGAUAUUGGCUACCGGUUGGAGGUUUCACCUUUUCAACACCUUAACUCCAUUUGUAGGAUAAUGGUGAAUAAAAUGUCCUAAGCAUAUUAACAUCCAACAUUAGAGCGGAAACAAGCAUAAUAGAGCACAGACAAGCAUAAUCGCAUAUCAAUAUUACAAACAUGUAAUCUGUUUUUCAUUUUCAUUGCUACAUCAAUUAAAGAUCACCUCCCAUCCUUCAAAUGCAUUAUUAAGCAACAAUAUGGUAAAACACCAAAGAGAUUUAAUCCAACCAACCUCAUUAGUUUGUGCAUUGCCGACAACAAAGUCAAAGUCGGUCCUAUUGCCCAAAUGAAACUACAAUAUUCACAAUAACAAAUAUUUAAGUCGAAAUUUACCAAAUACCAGAAUAAAAAAAAAUAAUUGGGGAUUUGUUACGGAUUGUGUCAUAUGCAAAGAACCAAGCUGAUUACAAAUUGUUGUUAUCGGCUCGGAAAGUUCAAGCCUCCAGAUACCAAAACCUAUAUUAUUAGAAUGUUAGUCGGCCAUAGAUCAUUUGUUUGCUCCAAGAAGGAAUGUUCAACAAGAUACAAUGCAGUGUUUGUUAGCUUUUCAUUAUUCAACAAGAUACAAUGGUUGUUAGCUUUACAUGUUCCCUGAUCUUUUAUUUACCUAUCCUGAAUCUACAUACUCCAUAAGCAUUUUUCGUAAGUUGUGAAUUAGGCUAAUGACAUUAAAAUAGUCACAGUAUAGAGUAGAAAUUGUGUGUUUUAGUAUAUGGUAUCCAAUCAACAAGCUUCCUAAAUUCGUGGAGAACUAGUGAGCAUAAAUUUCUUGUUCUUAUUCAAUAUCCUAACUAACUAAUUGUUACCGGUAAAAUAUGAACAGACCUGGAUUUUCUUUACUCAGAUGUUUUGGUGAAUUGAAUAAACUAGUUGAUUUUUAAUGGUUUCUAUAUCUCAUUGGUUCAUGUUAGUUUUUUAAUAUGAGUGUAUGUGUGUUUAUUUUGAUUAAGAUCUUUACAUUUGUUUCUCUAUUUGUAUAUUAAUAAAUAUGUACGUUUGUAUCUCUUCCCCUCUCUGUUCACUUCAUCCCUUUCAUCGUCCAAUCCCCUUUUGUCCAAAUCGAUGCCCUGGAAUUAAAACUUUUUAUAAUCAAGAGUUCUCCGGCACAAACCACAACACAUCAUCGAGGGGGAAGAAAUCUCAAGCAAAAUACAUCAUCGAGUGGGAAAAAUCCAGCUUAAAGCGCAAAUGACUAAUUUUGACCGACUCAAAGUGCUCAAGAUUGUCAUGGCUCAGAUCUACAGAAAUACAUUAGAAAAACAGGUGUGAUCUUUUCAAAACAUAAAAUUAUAUGAUUAUAAUUAUGUGAUUGUUUAUUGUUUUUCAUAUUUCAUGAUUAUGUAUAAUUGGGUUGUUUCGUAUCCUAUUCCGUCUUUUUUAUCUAUUUUGUCCGAAUUUGAGUCCGAAUUUGAGCAUAUUGGAUAUGUGUUAUUAAUCUUAUAUUAUAUAAUCAGUUACAUUUUAUGUGUUCUGUUUCUUCAUGUUCACGUUCGUCUCUUAGUUUUCACUAGUGCUCUUGAUGAUUGUGUGCGAUUCUUGGAUGGUGGCGGUGGAAGUGGUGUAGUGGUGACUUAAUUAGUGCGCGUUGUAAUAUUAGAUUAGAUUAUUCUGAUUGACUAUUUUUAUUGCGUGAUAUUAGUUUUAGCUUUGUAAUUUUGGAUAUGGUUAGGUUUUAAUGGUAGUAAUUGUAGAAUUUAAUUUUGGUUAUUUUUGAAUGACUAGUUGACUCUUUUAAAUUUGUUCAUUUUUGGAUUUUGACCUUUCUUUAAUUUGAAUUGUUGUGUUUUAUUAAAAGAUUAAUUGAUAGAAUCUUUAUUGCCGAUUAUUGUACUUGAAUUCCAUUAUUCAUGGGGAUCAUAAAAGAUGGCUUUAUUGUGCAUUAAUGAGGUAUUACUGCACCAUUAAUGGUUUAUUGGUGUAUACCAAAUUUAUGUUGUGAUUAGCUAAAAUCGUGAUAAAUUUGUUUAUCAAGAUUUUGUUUUGUAUUUGAUUAGAUAUAUCCUAACUAUGCUUUCAGAUUUUAAUUAUAUAUAUUUUCUUAUCUAUAUUUUAAAUAUUUAUUGACAUAAUUAUCAGUUAUUUUUUGAUAGGAUUUAUAUUUUAUUAUGUAUAUAACCAAAGAGAUCUCAUUAUCUCUUUGGUGUAGAUUUUUUAAUGAUUUGUUUUACAUAAACUUUUGUUUUUACUUUCCUUAUUCUUUAAAAGUUAUAUUAUAUUCAUAUUUUUAUUUAUGAGUUUGCUAACUCUUUUUCUACUUUUUAGAUAGUUUUAUUAUUUUUGUUGUAUGUAUGAACUUAUUAUGUUUUUAUUGUAUUUUAUUUUUUCAGGGUACGCGAGCGGAAGAUAGAAUGGCGGGACCUCUUAUGGUGUUUUCUUAUCGAACAUUAAAGUUUUAUUGUCUAAGUGUCUUCGGUCAUCUCUGCAUGUCCGAGGGUUAGAUGGUAAACUUUCUUGAACGAAAAGAACUCCUUGCGACGGAUUUUGUAUUCUGAUACAAUUCGUUAUACGAGAAAUUAUUUUGUGACAAAAAAAAAAUGUACAUUUGUAUCUCUAGUGUGUUGCCACAAGAUACAGCAUUUAUUACUGCUGCCUGUACAAAAUCCAUGCAGUCUUGACAAAAGCUAGUUAUUUGCUAAUCAGACUUAUAAAGAUUUUUAAAGAUGCAAUUGAACAAUAUGUAACCAGGUGAUUUGUUGCCACUCCGAUCAGUUGAUUUCAUGUCAUUGUAAAUAAUUUGAUUGCAGCGCUUGGCAGACCUUAAAAACAGAUAUAUCUUCCCAUUCAUCAAACUUCAACUAUAGGGGUAACAAGUGAAGUUACGAUCACAAUCACGAUACACCACAAAAGAGAAAUCAAGAUGGGGCGUUGUAAUUGGAUCAGCGCUUUGUCUUGCUCGCGCAGAUUGUCGUACUCGUGCUUUGGCAUAAAGGCUUGCUGGAGAGCGUUGCUGAAUAACGCCAUGGAUGUGUGUUGUUUGAUUUGGGGAUUAGGGUUCGGAGAUGACAAGUUAAUUGACUGUCAUGUCCUCCCUCCGUCCCAAUGAAUUGUAUACAGUUUCCUUUUUGGGACGUCCCACCAAUUGUAUACAUUCCAAAAGUAGUAAACUUUUAUAAUAUAAAACAUCAUUACACCAACUACUUUCUUCCACUGUCUUCAUUCUAUAAUAAUAUAAACACUAUUACACCCACUACUUUUCUUCACUAUCUCAAAUCUAUAAUUAAAUAUAAAUGGGUCCUAUCACUAUACUCACUUUUCACAUAAUUUUACUCAUUUUUUACCUUUUUUCCUGAUCUCCGUGUCCCUGGGACGGAGGGAGUACUUAGAACAAGUCAUGUGGUUGAUGUACCCAGUGCAUGCAUAAAUUAAUCUGAAACCGAUUUAGUCCGGUCAUAAAUAAAUCUGAAACCGACUUAAUCACGCGCAUAAAUUAAUCGGGAAUAAUAUAAAGGUCCAAAACGAAUAAUACUAAUAUUGUUUAUUAUUCUCUAAAUUUUAUUUAAUUUAUUAUUUUUGAGAUAUAAUUUUGUAUGUAUUUUUAAUUUUUAUAAAAUAUAAUUUCAUAAAUAAUUUGAUGGAAAAAUUUCUAGAUAUAAUUAAAAUUUUAAUUUCAACUAAUUUCAACUAAAAUAGGAAAAUGACAAAAUGAGUCAUGAAAUUAUAUUUUAUAAAAAUUUAAAAUAUAAAUAAGGAAAUUCUUACAACAUUAUAAACAUAUAUAUAUAUAUAUANNNNNNNNNNNNNNNNNNNNNNNNNNNNNNNNNNNNNNNNNNNNNNNNNNNNNNNNNNNNNNNNNNNNNNNNNNNNNNNNNNNNNNNNNNNNNNNNNNNNNNNNNNNNNNNNNNNNNNNNNNNNNNNNNNNNNNNNNNNNNNNNNNNNNNNNNNNNNNNNNNNNNNNNNNNNNNNNNNNNNNNNNNNNNNNNNNNNNUUGUUUAAACUCUAAUCAAUUUGAUUUUGUUUGUUUAAACUCUAAUCAAUUUGUUUCGUGACAAAUUCAUAUGUCGCAUUCUAGCUUUCUCAUCGGUAUUACAUUCAAUCAUACAGAUUAUUACAAACAUCGUUAAGAUAUUCUAUAUUAUGAAUUAUAUAUUUUGAACAAGCAUCGUUAAGAUUUUCAUCUAUAUUUUUUAUUUUCUUAAUAUAUUUAACUAAUCAUCACUUGCUUAUAUUCAUCUAACAAUAAAAUGUUUUAUGUUCUUCCAUCACUAAGAUCACAAAAACAUCCAACUUCGGCACCUAAACAAAUGUAAUAUAACCCGGAAGAAAAUUGGUAAAUUAUGAACCACUGUUCCAAAAUGCAGAAUCCUGUUUUAACACACACACAAGCUUAUUAUAUACAUUAUACAGGUCAAUAAAUAAACAGAAAAAUACUAGAAAUACUUCAAGUAACUUAACGGUUACUUGAACAUCAUCUAUUUUAAGUCUUUUGAGCCCUGAUCUUACAUAGGAAUAAGAAUAAGACAAUAUGGUUACUAGCAAAUUAGCGGGCCUUAGAAAAUUGUUUUUCAUCAUUUUGGAGCAUCAUCUUCAUUGUUUACUGCAAAUCAUCUUCCUUGUUUACUGCAAAGAAGAAUGUGAAAAUCAAUGACUUUCAUACUAGAAAAUUUAAUAAAUUUCAAGCACAUUAUAACUUAACUAUAAGCAUACCUUCACCAUUUAUGAGCCAUCCGUCUCCCGGAUAUUAUUAAACAAAACAAUCUUUACGUGAAUAAGAUUGUAUUGCGUUUGCUUUAUGGCAGGGCGGCUAGGAGCUCAGCACAAAAUUCUAGCCACCUACAUAGAGCUCGCUGAGGGAAGAUGGAUUGUGCUUUGGAACAAGGUCGGAAAUUCCUAGAAGUGGUGCCAGCCUCUAGGUUCUUUUACCUCAUCAGCUGCAUAAACACAAACACUGGACACAACACUUAGUGCAUUGCCUACAAUAUCCAAAGAUAUGGACAACAUCCAUCAAAUCAACUUACAACACAUUCUUCACACCUCAAUCAUAUAUCAUAGAACCAUCAACUAUCCGAUCAUUCUCACGAUUGCACUACCAACACAAAAACAAGUCUGAAACGACUUCAAGCAAUACACAAACCCUUAAUUUAUACCCACACAAGCAUUCACAAAUACUAUCUCAAACAUCAAAUUUCUUUAAAACAUGCUUUUCAUAAACCACACUAAUUACCGUAAAUCAACUAGACAACUCAAUUUUGUAUAACCACUACACACAUUAAUGCAUACACACACACACACACAUUGAACAAGUCACAUUUCAUAAUCCACAUAUUCAUAAAUCAACUAGACAACUUUAUUUUGCAUAACCACUAGACACACAAACACUCACACACACAUGAAACAAGUCACAUUUCAUAAUCCACAAACUCGUAAAUCAACUAGACAACUCAAUAUUGCAUAACUACUAGACACACGAACACUCACACACACAUAAAACAAGUCACAUUUCAUAAUCCACAUAUCCAUACUCGAAAACCCUCACCAGCAACUAAAUACGCAACUGAAACCAAAAACACCAAAACCGACGGCAUAAACACCACCAUCCAAUAAUAAUCCACCGUCUGCUGAUCCGUCAAAUAAAACGCCCCAGGAAACACAUCCUCCCCGCCGCCACCGCCACCAGAGCUCACAUUUAUCGACAACGGCUGAAUCCUCAAAUCCCGGCAAAACACGCGUUUCCCGUCCUCCGCCGGGAACACAAUCUUCACGCUAAUCGAGGUGGACACAACGAUCACAAUCACGAUACACAACAAGAGGGAAAUCAAGACGGGGCGUUGUAAUUGGAUCAUCGCUUUGUCUUCUUCGCGCAGAUUGUCGUACUCGUGCUUCGGCAUGAAGGCUUGCCGGAGAGCGUUGCUGAGUAACGCCAUGGAUGUGUGUAGUUUGAUUUGGGGAUUAGGGUUUGGAGAUGACAAGUUAAUUGACUGUCAUGUACUAGAACAAGUCAUGUGGUUGAUGUACCAGGCAUAAAUUAAUCCGAAACCGAUUUAAUCCGGUCAUAAAUUAAUCUGAAACCGACUUCAUACGCAUAAAUUAAUUGGGAAUAAUAAAAAAAUUCAAAACAAAUAAUAUUGAUAUUAUUUAUUAUUCUCUAGAUUUUAUUUUACUUGUUAUUUUUUGAGAGAUGGUUCCGUAUGUUUUUUUAAAUUUUUAUAAAAUAUAAUUUUAUAAAUGAUUUGAUGAAAAAUUUCUAGAUAAAAUUAAAAAUUCAAUUUCAACUAAAACAGGAAAAUUACAAAAUGAGUCAUGAAAUUAUAUUUUAUGAAAAAUUAAAUUAUUAAUAAGAGAAUUCUUACAAAAUUAUAAAGAGAUUUGUAUAUAUAGUUAUUGACAUAAAGAGAUUUGUAUAUAUAUUUAUUGACAUUGAUUUUAGACGCGAGAAGGGAAAUUGUGUUUGUUUAAACUCUAACCAAUUUGUUUCAUAACAAAUUUAUAUGUCAGCAUUCUAACUUUCUCAUCGGUAUUACACUUAAUCAUACAGAUGAUUACAAACAUCUUUAAGAUAUUAUAUCUUAUAAUUUCUUUAAAUUGUCCUCCGUGAGCUGAGAAAAAUGUUCGUUCAUCUAUAUUUUAAUUUUUAAUUUUCUAUUUUCUUAAAAUUAUUAUAUUUAACUAAUCAUCGUUUGCUUGUACAUUCAUCAAUAAUAAAAUGUUUAAUGUUCUUCCAUCAAUAACAUCACAAAAUGGGCACCUAAACAAAUGCUACAUAUAAACCAAAAAAAUUUGUAAAUUAUGAAUAACUGUUCCAAAGUGCAUAAUCCUAUUUUAACAGGUCAAUAAAUGUCAAUAAAUAAACAGACAAAUACUAAAACUACUUCAAGUAACUUGAUGGUUUCUUGAACAUCAUCUAUUUUAAGUAUUUUGAGCCCUGAUCUUACAUAGGAAUAAGAAUAAGACAAUAUGGUUACUCCAAUCUACACUGCUAGAUUUAAACUUGAUUCUUUUAAAUUCAGAAGUUCCACGAUGUGCUGCGUUUGUUUUAUCUUCAACUAAAUAGAUAAGUAGGCAGCUUCUUCAUAAUAGUAGAUAACAAGCAGAUUAGAGGAUUAGCGGGCCUUAGAUAAUUGUUUUUCAUCUUUUUGGAGCAUCAUCUUCAUUGUUUUGUUUACUGCAAAUCAUCUUCUUUGUUUACUGCAAAGAGGAAUGUGAAAAUCAGUGACAUUCAUACUAAAACAUUUAAUAGAUUUUAAGUACAUUAUAACUUAACUAUAUAAUACGCAUACCUUCAACAUUUCUGAGCCAUCCGUCUCAAACAUAUUAUUAAACAAGACAAUCUUCACGUGAAUAAGAUUGUAUUGAGUUGGUUUUAUUACAGGGUCCAUGGUAACUCAGCACACAAUUCUAGCCACCUACAUAGAGCUCGCUGAUAGACAACAAAAACCAGUAUGAUGAUUGGUUCCUAUCAACAAUCUUAUCAUGUCUCUUUUGAAAUAAAAUGAUAUAAAUGUAUGGGAAAGAGAAGCAAGAACUAAAGGUCAAACUAAUAUAUAUUGGUCACUGCAUAGUAAUAUUUAAGAGACAUCAUUUAUAUGUUACUGAAUUAAAUAGGAAGUAGAUCAACCUUCAGCAAUUGUUUGCUCAGAUGAAGAGUUCUUCUCUUAUUUCAGUUAGCCGAGUCACAAGGAAUCCCUAGCAGUGGUGGCAACCUCUGGGUUCUUUUGCGCCAAAUGAAGCAGCGGCACGACUAAACACAUAGGACAAAAUGGGCAUAUAAAGUUUGUUAGACAGAUAAAGACAGAAAUUUUACAAUAUUACAUAUAUUGUAAGAAGUUUGUACAUGCAAAACCAAUUUUAUUGUUAUACACAAAUCAAGCGAAGGGUGAAAAUACCAUAUCGAGAAAUGUUGGCAUUUCUCUUUGUCCACUUAGAGCAAGGUUUGGUAGAAUCACUUUUAUCCCAUGCCGGCCUGACAUAAUGAAUUUCAAUAUUUCACGAAUUUCAUAUUGUACGCAUUAAUUAUAAAGUUAACAGUUAUGAGAGUACUUAAAUAUUAAUUUAUGUCCUUUCAGAUAUCACAAUAAAUAAAGUUCAUACAGAAACCUAUAAACGUAAAUGCACAGCCUAUACACAUAAUUUAUCACGAAUUGCAAGAUAGCGCCGCUUGGACGGAUCCUCUCUCAGUGUUUUGAAUUAAAUAAAUGUGAUUCAACAAAAUAUAACACAAUAAUAUCAACAAUAUCUAGAUUCUUAAUGCCCAUCUCUAUUGCUAAAUUUCGAGACUGUGGUUUCCCUUUAUCAUCUCUAUCCAACAAGCAAUGAUCUCUUAUAAGUAUUUCCAUAGACAUACAGAAAUCAAAAGGUAGUUUACUUUCUAAUUAACUUCUACAUUAUACUACAAGAAAAAGGGUGCUCAAAACUAACACAAAAUAUUCCGAUACAGCUAACCAACACAAUCACGAUAAACAGACCACAAUUACCACAGGUCAUUCAAAACUAACCACAAAUCACCCUUAUCCAGUGACAAAAUAUUCCGAUACAGCCAAUCAACACAAUCAAGGGCACAAUCAAUCAUAAAAUAUUCCGAUACAGCUAACCAACACAAUAAAGCUGAUCACUAUCAGUUAUCACAUAUAUGUUCAAAACAGACCACAACUAAAUGAGAUCUAUCUAGUCAAUUAAACAUUUUCGUAACAGAAAUCAAAAUUUUACCCACUGAGGUGGCAAUAGAACAUAGUUUUGUUUUGCUGGAGCAUCUUCUUCAUUGUUUACUGCAAGAACAAAUGCGAUAAUUAGUGAGUUUCGUAUCAGAUAAAUUAGCUAUAAAACAAUCGGAAUUGAAAAUCUAGGGCUUAAGAAAACGAUAUAUAUACCUGGUUUUCGGCUUCGAAACGGACAACAUAAAGAAUUUGAACAUCGAUCUAGCAACACUGAAUUAUGAAUACACUCGAAUAGAUACAUACACACACGAUUAUUAUCGAUCGAUGCGGCGUGCCCUAGCACGAGGAGUUUAGAAGAGAUUUUAUACCUAAAAUAUAAGUGGGGUAAGUGAUGGGCUAGGGUUUCUUCUGGAUAAUCGGAAUGGGCUUUUUAUAAAUUAUAAGAUGGGGUAAGUGAUGGGCUUUUUAUGAGUUACUUUAUAUAACUAUGAUAGUAGAAUUUUAUGGGCCUCGUUUGAUUUGAUAAGUGAAUGACACGAGACCGUUAGUGUGAUUGUUCAGAAUUUUAUAUGUUAAACAUGUAUUUUAUAUGUUUGAUUGUUUUUUUAUUUUGAAUUAGAUGACGGUGAAAAGCUCCGUGACUACAUGCUAAUUUUCUUCGCUAAAUUUUAUAUGCUAAUGUUCUCUAUAGUUUAAAAAGUUUGAAAUGUUGAAAAUUUUGAUAUUCAAGCAAACUUAAUUUUAAAUAUAUGUUAAUAAGUCUAAUUAUAAAAAAAUAAUAAAUUAUAAUUGAAAAAUAUGUAUUAUAUUAUUAAAAAUAUUAAAUUAAAUUAAUUGAAAUCCAUCAAAUAUAGGUAUAGGGUUUUAAAAAAUUAUAAUUUAAUUUUAAAUAUUUGUUGCUAGAUUUAUCUUAUUUAGCAUGUAAUUUAUAUUAAAAUGUAAUAAUCGAAUAUAUGGAUAUUUCGUGGUUUGAAUCACUUUCAAUUACCGUCAUUAAAUUUCAUAUCAAAUUGAUGAGAAAUAUUUAAUAUAAUAUUUAGAAGAGUUUCUUUAUAUGAUUAGGGUUUAUUUCUCAUCAAUAAUAUAAUCGAAUUUAAUUUAUAAUAUAAAUUUAUAAUUAUUUAAAAUUCCAAACAGCCAUAUUAAAUAUUAUAUUAAAAUUAUAUAAAGAAUAUAAAACAUACAAUAGUAUCAAUUAUUUAUUAAAAUAAUAUAUAUUUAAGACUAUUUACUUAGAUUAAUAUUUCUGUUGAUUAAUUCAAAAACACCCAAAUCAUAAUAGAUUUAAGAUAAUUUUUGAUAAUUUAAAAAACCUUUCAUUUUCUUAAUAUCUGUUAAAAUCACCAUUGUCAUAAAAAAAACUACAUGAUAAAUAUUUGAUAUAAUUGAUACAUUAAUAUACAUACGUGCAUAAAUGAAUGUAUAUACGAACUUCUCUGGAAGAUCCACAGUGCGAUCGCAGGUAUAAAUUAAUCCGAAACCGAUUUAGUCCGAUCAUAAAUAAAUCUCGGGAAUAAUAAAAGAAUCCAAAACGAGUAAUAUUAAUAUUAUUUAUUAUUCUCUAGAUUUUAUUUAAUUUGUUUUUUUUAGAGAUAGUUCUGUAUGUAUUUUAAAGUUUUAUAAAAUAUAUUUCUUAAAUAAUUUGAUGAAAAAAUUUCUAGAUAAAAUUAAAAUUUUAAUUUUAACAAAAAUAGGAAAAGUACAAAAUGAGUCAUGAAAAUCUAUUUUAUAAAAAUUUAAAAUAUAAAUAAGGAAAUUCUAAUGAAAUUAUAAAACGAUUUACAUAUAGUUAUUGACAUUGAUUUUAGACGAGAAGGGAAAUUGUGUUUGUUUAAACUUUAAUCUAAAUUCUAAUCAUUUUGUUUGUGUUUGUUUAAACUGUAAUAAAUUUGUUUCGCUUGUACAUUCAUCAACAAUAAAUUGUUUUAUGUUCUUCCAUCAAUAAGAUCACAAAAACAUCUAGCUUCGGCACCUAAACAAAUGCUACAUAACCCAGAAGAAAAUUGGUAAAUUAUGAAUAACUGUUCCAAAAUGCAGAAUCCUGUUUUAACACACAAACAAGCGUAUUAUAUACAUUAUACAGGUCAAUAAAUAAAAAGACAAAUACUAGAAAUACUUCAAGUAACUUAAUGGUUACUUGAACAUCAUCUAUUUUAAGUCUUUUGAGCCCUGAUCUUACAUACGGAUAAGAAAAGACAAUAUGGUUACUACCAAUUCGCGGUCCUUAGAUAAUUGAUUUUCAUCAUUUUGGAGCAUCAUCUUCAUUGUUUACUGCAAAUCAUCUUCCUUGUUUACUGCAAAGAAGAAUGUGAAAAUCAGUGACUUUCAUACUAGAAAAUUUAAUAAAUUUCAAGUACAUUAUAACUUAACUAUAAGCAUACCUUCACCAUUUAUGAGUCAUACAUCUCCCAAUUAUUAUUAAAGAAAAAACAAUCUUUACGUGAAUAAGAUUGUAUUGAGUUUGUUUUAUGGCAGGGUCGGCUAGGAGCUCAGCACAAAACUCUAGCCACCUACAUAGAGCUCGCUGAGGGAAGAUGGAACUCAUCCUUGUGCUUUGGAACAAGGUCGGAAAUUCCUAGAGGUGGUGCCAGCCUCUAGGUUCUUUUACCUCAUCAGCUGCAUAAACACAAACACUGGACACAGGCACAGUGGACAUAUAAUAUAUCUUAGAAAAAUAACGAUGGAAGUUUCAUAAUUUUGCAUAUAUUGUAGGGAGUGUACAUAUAAAAACCAAUUUUUUCGUUAUACAAAAAUCAAGCGAAGGGUGAGGACUACCAUCUCGAGAAAUGUUGGCAUUUCUCUUUGUCCACUUGGUGCCAAUUUUGGUAAAAUUAAUUUUAUUCCUUGCCAACCUGACAUAAUAAAUUACAUAUUCUACGCAUUAAUUAAAAAAUUAACAAUUAUGAGAGUACUUCAAUACUAAUUUAUGUCCUUUCAGUCAUCACAAUAAAUAAAGUUCAUACAGAAACCUAUAAACACUACUAGAAAAACGUCAAUAAACAUCAGUUAAAAACCCAUGUUUAUGAAAAAGAGAAACCGAUGUCUUCGUGGGUGAUGUUAAAGAUCCCCUCAUUUAACAUCGGUUUCAAACUGAUGUGAAAGAUGUCGUAUGACAUCGUUUCUUAAUUUGAAACCGAUAUCUAUAUCUUGAUGUUAAAUUUUUAAUGCACAUCUAUAAUUUAUAUAUAAUUAUAAUAUGAUAUUUUUAUCAAUUUAAAGAUAUGUAAUAAAGGUCAAAGAAAAGAAAAGGUGCACUCAUAUACUCAACACCACACCUUUUUUUAGCGAGCUCUACAGUGUUUUUCCCCCCUUCCCGACCAGUACUAGUACAAGACUUUGGCCUGCAAAGAGAAAGGAGAACAAUUGCAGGAAGUAAUAACUGUUAAUGUGGCAAACAGGUUUAUUUUUCAGAAUAACAACUCAAAUAAAAAGUCUCAUACUAACACUUAUAAUGCAAACAUUUGCACUCAGUAAAUGCAGGAGCUAGUCCCCAAAAUAAGAUGCAAGUAAAAGAAAGGAACACAAUUACUCAGCAAUAAAUAAUUUAUAGAGUUUAAACUUCAAAACAAGACUAAAAAUUGGAAACGCAUCUGUAGUUCCUUUUUCGAACCACAUCUGUCAAUGAACCACACCAUUAAAUUCAGUAACAGAGAUUAAUUACAACAGAAAUUUAUAAGUCUACAACAGAAAGAGGACCCAAAUAAAAAACUACUAGAGAGUCACAAAAAUAAAACUAAAAGAAAUGGAGAAAGCAUCUUCAGUUCCUUUUCCUGACAACAUCUGCUUAUGUCUGAAUUAUAUUUAUGAACCACAACAUCAAAUUCAGUAACAGAGCUUGAAUGAAAGAUUAAUAUAACAAACUAGCAAGCAAAAACUAUACAACAAACACUGGAAAACAAACAUAAAAAGAAUAUAAGGUUACCCUGUGUUGGAGUUAUUCAUGCCCAAAAACUUUCUGUUACAAUCUUCAUAUGAUUUAGCCAAUUUUUUGUUCUGGUGGAGCGAUGCUGCACAGAUCAAAAAAAUUUGUCAAAAGGCUAAACAAGACUAUUAACAAACAGUUAUUAGAUUAUACUCAUCUCUCUCAAAACUCACCUUCAUAAUUUAACUACCUCUGGGUCCCUGAGUUAAUUAGUAAUUAGUAAUUUAGGAUAAGAACAAUCACUCAACUAAUUACAAAUUAAAAAUUAGGGUUUCAAAUUGAAACCCCCAAUUCUAAAAUUAGGGUUUAAAACUUACCCAAUUCAAACUUUAACCUCCGAAUUAGCUCUAAACUCUGACUUGAACUCCGACUUGAGCUCCGACGACCCUCUAACUUUUAACCUUUAACUCCCGACUGGAACUUCGACAGAGAGAGAGUAGACAGCCCAAAGAGAGAGAGUAGACAGCCAAGAGAGAGCAGACAGUAGUGGGAAGUGAGUUUAGCAGUGAGGUGAGAGUGAGUUCUUCGGUCGACAAGAUCGAGUGAGAGAGGAGAUCGAGUGAGAGACAGCAGUGGUUUACGAUUUUUGAUUUUAUGUUUUAUGUUUUAUGUUUAUGUUUUAUGUUUUUGAUUUUGAUUUUGAUUUUAUUUUUAAUUUUUGAUCCACAUCAAAAAUAAAGGGGGGGGGGAUUUUGCUAAGGCAAAAAACGAGGGGAAUUUUUAGGAGGGAAUGAAUUAUUUGGCUAAGGGGGGAAAACGGGAAACGCGCGCUUCUUAAAUUUUUAAAACAGACUUAUAACAUCAGUUCUUCUAAAACACCGAUGUGUAUAUUAACCAAAGACAACAGUCGUUCAAAACCGAUGUGAGAAAACCCUUUUACAUCGGCUCCAGGAGCAACUGAUGUCUAAUAGGCGAUGUCUAUUCUACUUUUUCUAGUAGUGAAACGUAAAUGCACAGGCUACAUACAUAAUUAAUCACAAAUUGCAAGAUAGUGCCGCUUGGAUGCAUCCUCUCACAGUGUUUUGAAUUAAAUAAAUGUGAUUCAACAAGAUAUAACACAAUAGUAUCAACAAUAUCUGGAUUCUUAAUGCCCAUUCAUUGUUAAUUUUCGAGACUGUUUGGUUUCCCUUUAUUAUCUCUAUCCAACAAGCAAUGGUAUCUAAUAACAAUAGAAAGCUUUCCAUAGACAUACAGAAAUCAAAAAGCAGUUUACUUUUCUAAUUAACUUCUACAUUAUACUACGAGAAAUAGGGUGCUCAAAACUAACACAAAAUAGUAUCACAAUAUCUGGAUUCUUAAUGCCCAUCCAUUGUUAAUUUUCAAGACUGUUUGGUUUCUCUUUAUUAUCUCUAUCCAACAAGCAAUGAUCUCUUACAACAAUAGAAAGCUAAAGUAUUUCCAUAGACAUACAGAAUCAAAAAAUAGUUUCCUUUUCUAAUUAACUUCUACAUUAUACUACAAGAAAAAGGGUGCUCAAAACUAACACAAAAUAUUCCAAUACAGCUAACCAACACAAUCACGAUAUGUUCAAAACAGACCACAAUUACCAAAGGUCGUUCAAAACUAAUCACAAAUUACCCUGAUCCAGUGACAAAAUAUUCCGAUACAGCCAACCAACACAAUCAAGUGCACGAUCAAUCAUAAAUAUUCCGAUACAGCUAACCAACACAAUCAAGGGCACGAUCUACCAAUUAUCACAUAUAUGUUCAAAACAGACUACAAUCAUAUGAGAUUUAGCUAGUCAAUUAAACAAGCUUUCAUUACAGAUCAGAAUUUUACCCACCAGGAGAAGUUCUUAAGUGCACAAUGUCAUCAAUGUCGUCCUCAUCAUCAAUCCACCCGUAACAAGGCCUGCGUCGUUUCCUUGGAAUAGUUCCGCCUGGUGCUUGUGGAGGGAGGAUGGCCAGGGAAAGCUCGGUGUUAGUAUUACCGAGGUUGACAUCUGAGCUGAUAACAGGGGCCAUAAGAUUAACAUCACGUCCACGGGACGCUUCCAUACCUUCACCAUGGAGAACAACAUUCUCAUCAUUCUAUGUGUGUGGUGACUAAUAUCAUAUUACAUUCUGCAAUUUAAAAUUUUGCUAUCCUGACCUUUAUGUAAUAACAUUGUUUCACCAUAAAGUCAAUAAGAUUGUAUCAUACAAAUAUUGGCGAGGCAUAAACUCAACUUAUUUUUCUUAAACGAGAUGAUAAUUCUUAUAGUGUACCUGUAUUGUCAGAAUUUUACCCACUAGAGGCAGCAAUAGAACAAAGUUUUGUUUUUCUGGAGCAUCUUCUUCAUUGUUUACUGAAACAAAAAAAGCAAAAUUAGCGAGUUUCAUAUCAGAUAAAUUAGCUAUCAAACAAUCGGAAUUGAGAAAUCUAGGGCUUAAAAACACGAAAUAUAUACCUGUUUUUGGGCUUCGAAACGGAUAACAUAACGAAUUUGAAACAUCGAUCCAGCGAUUCAGCACUGAAUUAUGAAUACACUCAAACACACACGAUUAUUAUCGAUCGACGCGGCGUGCCCUAGUCUAAUUGGGAAGCCGCCGCCUUAACCUGCACGAGGAGGAGUUUACAGGUGAUUUUAUACCUAAAACAUAUGGGCUAGGGUUUCUUAUGAAUAAUCUGAAUGGGCUUUCUUUAAGUGAUGGGCUAGGGUUUAAUCUGAAUAAUCGGAAUGGGCUUUUUUUAAGUGAUGGACUGUUAUUGUGAUUGUUCAUAAACACGUUUGACUGUUUUUAUUUUGAAUUAGAUGAUGGUGAAAAGCUUCGUGGCGAUAUAUACUGAUUUUCUUCACUAAAUCAUGGAUCAAGUUCUCCGUAGUUUAAAAAUUUUAAAAAUGUUGAAAGUUUUGAUAUUUAAGCAAAUUUAUUUUAAAAUAUAUGAUGAUAAGUCCAUUUAUAAAAAAAAAAUUUAAAUUUAAAUUUUAAUAUUAAAAUAUGUAUUAUAGUCUCGGAAAAAAAUAUGAUCAUAGUCUCGGAAAAAAAAGUAAGUCUUUUUCUAUAUCAAAAUAUUUGAAAUGAAUUUUUAAAUUCUAAUUUGAUAUUUAUUAAUGUAUGCAGUUUUUAUUUUUGAUAUAUUGAAAAAAGUAGUUUUGAAACUUUCCUCCAAUAUAUCCGAAACUGAAAAAGGUAAUUUUUAUUUUUGAUAUUUACAAAAUUAAAAAUAUAAUUCGAAACUUUCUUCCAAUAAUUUUGAUACAGAAAAAGGUAGGUAGAUUUAAUUUUUGAUAUACUGAAAAUGAUAGUUCUACAACUUGCUUCUAAUAUACCCGAAACUAAAAAAAGUAGUUUUUAUUUUUGAUAUUUUUCAUCCAAAAAUUUCAGAAAAUUGGAGGAAAAAAAGUAAGUUUUUUUCCAUAUCAAAAUAAUCGAAAAGAAAUUUCAAAUUCUGAUUUGAUAUUUAUUAAGUUAGUUUUUAUUUUUGAUAUAUAGAAAAAUGAUGUUUUGAAACUUUCCUUCAAUAUCCGAAAUUGAAAAUGGUGAUUUUUAUACAAAAAAAAAGUAAUGUAGAUAGGUAGAUUUUAUUUUUGAUAUUUUGAAAACGAUAGUUCUAAAAUUUACUUCCUCGCAUAAUCACAAAUUCUGCUCCCUCGGAGUUAAGUCCAACCUGUGACCAAGGAUACAAGUCUCCGCUUUUAAUCUAGUUGAACCAACCCUUUCUGACAAAAGAUGUAUUUGAUAUGGGGCUAAAAAUGCAAAAACCGAAACGAAAAUGAGAUAUAUUUGAGGCAUAUGGUCGAAAAGCUUGAACAUGUUUGUAAGUUUUCUAAAUUAGGGUGAGACUCUGUUAUAUAUUUCUAAAUUAUAAAAAAUCGUGUUUUUCAUUUUUUUCCCCCAGUUUUUGGGCUGAGCGUGUAUUAUUUUUUCAAGAAAAUUUCAAGUGCACAGUUUAAACUUUAAACCUCAUUCAUCUUUGUAUCACCAUCAAAAUGAGAUCAUUCAUCUUUUUAUCACCAUCAUAAUUAACUUUGGAAGAUAUAAAGUUCUCAUAUUGACUUGCAUGGGAAACUGGGAGCUCAUACUAAGACUCCUAUAUCCGUCAGUAAAAACAUUUUUCGGGAGCACAUUAUCAAAACAAAUAAGCUGUUUGUUUAUAAUCUUAAAUAACAAUAUUAGUUGUUAUAUUAUCAUUUUUAUCACAAGUUCCCAAACUGCUUGCAAGUUGGGAAAGUUUCCUGAAAAGGAAUCUGUUCUGCUUUUCUUCCAAGUAUUAUAUCACACUCUCAUUCUUUCAUUUUCAUGUCAGCAAUAACAAUGGAAAAUAUGCUUUGGCAAUACUGAUACCAUUCAAGCUGAGGUGUACCAGAGUAGAUAAAUUCAAUAACCAACCAAAUAUGCCACCUUGUAGAAUACCAGUGUGGCCGAGAUUAAGCUGCUGUAAUUUGAAAAGAUUACCAAGCUGAUGUUGAAUGGCUCCAGAAAAAAGGUUAUCAAAGAUCGAGGUAUGUGAAGCUGGUGAAAGAAGGAAUGAAAAAAAAAUAAAAAACUUUAAAAUUGCAAAUUUAAACUUUUACAUUAAAGAUAACACAUUUGUCUAAAAGUUGAGAACCAAAUGAAUAGCAGCUUAUACAAUAUCUUAAUCAAGACAAGACAAUUUUUGUCCACCAUUAUCCUACAAUUUGCAAAGCCUCAAAGGCUGCUCACACUAAAAGAAGUCCCAAAACAUUUCAUAAAUUUUUAAGUUAAAGUAGUUGAAGUACAUCCUCUGUUUUCUCUGAGCAAACAUCAUCUUUUGUAUUUGGAUUUUAAAGGUGUGCUCUAUCUCUCGCUUUCACAGAGCAUUUCUCUCAGUAAUACAACGGCCUCCAUAACAGAAAAUUCUUUCAUCCAUUUGGCCACCCCUUCGCCAAAUUUGUCUGCCCAAUAUAUUUCGGAUCAAUGGCCAUAAAAAUCUUUACGCAACUCCUAAAACCAUCUUCGAAGGCCUCUUUUAUUUUUUUGUUUCUCAACAGCUCAAUUGUUGGCCCUGUCGAGUGACGCCAAUGCAAGAACAUCCUUGAAAGCUCACAGGCCUAGAACUGAAAACAAUCUUAUAAAUAAAAAGAUAUUCUUUAAAACAUUAAACUUUAUCUCUACAAGAAUAGUCUAUAUCUAUGUGUAAUCACAAUUUAUUACGAUUACGAACUAACAAUAUAUAAGCAGACAAACUUAGGCACAUCGUCAUAGAAUGAACAACAAAGUUAUACAACUUAUUUAAAAACAUCAGUUGGGAAAAGCAGUAUAAAGAGGUAGAGACUUGGUGGCCUCAGAUAAAGGACGUUGUGCGAAUAUAACCUGGCUUUCUACUUGCUGGCACCAUAGUGGUGAAUUGAGCCAUUUCUCACCAAAAUCUUACUUGCAAAUUUGCUAGCUAUUAAUACAUUUAAUGGUUGAAUAUUCUUUAUUAGAUUGUAUUCUAAUAAUUAACUUGUGUUUUAUCCUUUAUUAUACAUAAAGAUAUAUAAUAUUUAGAAGUAAUUUCUGAAAAUUCCAUUGACUCCUGUUUCACACUGUGCCCACUUACAGGACUUGUUCUAGGGAAAGUGACUUGUGCCUCCAAGCAUUUCAAGCUCAAACUGUGAAGCCCAAAUAAUAUAGCAGGCAAGUAGCUUACUAUAUGUAGCAGUAAAGACAAAGACAAUGCUACUAUGCCGGAAAAAAUUGCAAGGGCACUCGCAAAGGAUCAGAUAUACCUAAUGCAGAAUAACCCGAAGGAGGAAGUUCAUUAUUCACCUCGAUACUCAGUUAACAGUUUUUAACUUAUAGAAAACCAACAACUUCAAGCAGAAAAAGAUCAGGUAGAGCAAUAGUAGCUAGUUGAUGCAAAAAUUAAAUGCCUCAAAGAGUCUGAUACGAAGUUAGUUAAGUGUGUGGCUGUGUGCAUAUGUGGAGAGAGUUACCAUAGCAUAUAGCAAGGAUAAAGAAGCUUAUCAAUUCAUUCUAUCAAGCAAUAAUAAUUCAGCUUACCUGAAUUCAUAAGCGGAAGUACAAAGAAAAGUUCAGAGAGUCCCACGAGAGAAUGAAUCGUGUCUGAACUGAUUGCCCAUACAAGAUCUCCCUGAAAAGAAGAUUGAAGUCCGAGAAAUGACACAAUAAAUGAGAAGAUUUCUAUCAUAAAUCACAAGUGCUUGUAAAAUAAAAUUGCAUGUGGAAUGACUAAGCUGCAACUACGUAUUACCUUGAGCUGCAAAAACAUUUCAUAUGUGAAUACAAGAAACAAAUGACAACUAUUAUUAGCAAGGCAUGAACACACAAGUCCCCUUAAAAUAAGUUGAAAAAAAUAAUCACCACCUGUGGAAUGUAACGAUGGCUCUUGCGCUUAGGUUGGUGAACUGCUGCUGAGGAGCAGUCACUUAGAACAGUCUCCACUUGCGCUGGAGGUUUGUUUUUGAGCAUACAGCUGGAUGCCUGGAUUUUCCUCACCUUUCCUUGCCUCUGUCAAAUCUAAGACUUUAUCCUAAUCAUCACCGAUUAAAAAAUCAAAAUCCACGAUAAAUUAAGCAUCAAAACCCUAAUGAAACACAGACACCAAUUCAAAUACACAUAGAAAUUGAUAAAGACAACGAACUGCGCAUACAUAAAAAUCUGCUGCUAUGCUCUCCGGAUAAAUCAGAAGGAGAUAACUGCCCACGACUAUGAUCAUAUAACAUAAAUCAACCCUGAAAAUCAGCAAGAAUAACAUACAUACCCGCUUUGACCCUCUAGCUGAAUCCGUCAUAUUCAUGCCGAUCGGCUUUCCCCGGUGUGAAAAGAUUGUCCAGAGAAGGCCAUUUAUAAGUAAAUCUCUGAGGAGGCACAGAGACCUCAGUUACGGAGCGGGUAACUGAAGUGCCUGUCCAAGUCCCAGGCUGAACAUAACCGCUAGGCAAGCUGAGAGAAAAUAUAAAAGAAAUAGCCAAAAGUGCAGAGAGCAGGGAUUUUGAUUCAAGAGCGUAAAGAGCGCCACGUAAGACGCCCGAGAUUUUGCUUUAUAUAGAUAUAAGAUUUGACAUUCUUUAGUAUAAAACUUUAAAAAUAAUAUUAAUUACAUAUACGUCAAGUGAGUAGCAUGUAAACUAUGAAUUUUUUUUACAAAGUGCUGAAUCGAUCCUCUGUCAUCACACAAACGUAUUAUAUACAUUAUAUAGGUAAAUAAAUAAACAGACAAAUAUAAAAACUACUUGAGUAACUUAGAUUUUAAGUCUUUUGAGCAUUGAUGUUACAUAGAAAUAAGAAUAAGACAAUAUGGUAAGGAAUACAUUGGUAGGUUCAACUACUUGGAAAAAAAUCAUCUACAUUGCCAGCUUUUAACUUAGUUCUUGCAAUUUCAAAAGUUCCCGAUAUGUCGCGUUGCUUUAUCUUCAACGAAAUAACCAAGUAGACAAGCAGCAGCUUCUUAAUAGCAGAUAAGUAGCAGAUUAGCCAGCCUUAGUUACUGUUUUCCAUCUUUUUGGAGCAUCAUCUUCAUUGUUUACUGCAAGAAGAAAUUUGAAAACCAGUGAAUUGAAUACUAGAAAACUUAAUAGAUUUUCAAGUACAUUAUAACUAUAUAACAAGCAUACCUUCACCAUCUCAGAGCCAUACGUAUCCUGGAUAUUAAACAAGAUAAUCUUCACGUGAAAAAGAUUGUACUGAGUUUGUUUUACAAUACCUCAAAGUGUGUACGAAAACAUACCUUUAAAAAGAAGUAAAGAUAUAUCACAAACUAAUAACUUUCAACCAAACUAUACAAUAUACUACGACAGAAAGUUUAAUAUUCCCUCUGUCCCGGUUACAUUUUAACCGACUUUGACUUUUUAACACGUAUAUUGAGAUGCAAAAAAAUAAUAUCUACACUGAAUAAAAAAAUUCAAUUCUUAUACCAAAUAAUAGUUUAGAUUCUAAACGUUUAAUUGAUAUGAAUUUUAUAAAGAAUUAUUAUGUUUAGAUGUGAUUUUCUUAACACCUUAAAAUACAUGUAAAAAAGUCAAAAGCAGUUAAAAUGAGAUGGAGAGAGCAUAUAGAACAAGAUAUUUGUGUGCACAUAAAGUCUCUUACCUCAACAAUAUUUCCUCUAGGAAGGCCGACACCCAAUGCAAUGUCCAAUGUCAGACAACCACUUGGAAAAGAGUCACUGCAGUAGACCAAAUUGGAGAACAGGGCAAUUUGUAAGUAAUGAAAACUGAGAGUGUGUGCUUGUUCAUUUCUAUCGAAGUGAUUUAAAGAAAGAUAAGGAAAAGUUCACAUUGCAGACAGAACAUUCGAAAUUUCGAACAGCGUUUAUUAAAUGCAAAUAGAAUUGGAAGAAGUCUACAUUAAUAGUAUUUGAACACAUACACAAGAGAUCCACCAGCAUUGCCUAAUCUUGUUACAGCUCCUUUUCCAAAUGAGUUAUUAAUGUCAUUCAUAGCUGCUUCCAAUGCUUUCGCCUGUAACAAAAUAUUUACAUCAAAUAUGGACAUUAGAUUAGUUUUGAUUAUGGUCCAUGAAAUAAAUUGUAACAUUCCUCAUUUCCACAUUGUUUGACUUAUGAGCUAAUUUAUUUUUAGACAUCCAUCUUCUUCUUGAAUUGUAUAAUAUCCUAUCAAGUUGAUUAAUCCAAGAACUGUAGUCUGUAGGUGUUUCCCAUAAGAACCUGAGGCAUAUUUGACAUCUUACGUUCUUUCCUAAUCACGGUGCUUCUUAAAGAAUAAUAUUACCUGACAAGAUUAUGAAACUCAGAAAGUAAAGCACCGCAUAUUAUAUCACUAUUUAAGGACUCACCUUCUUUCAAAACUCCACCCAGCUCUAUCAAUUUAGGGUAUAAUAUAUGAUGAAUGCAAUCCCUGUUUACGACUCCUAAUAAUAAUAACAAUGCCGAUGCCUUCUACACCAAGAGUGUGGGAUAGUUCAUAGGAAGUGAAUCAUAUACAGUGAAUCCAAUUCCGUACAUAUCAGACUACUUCAGAUAAACUGGCACAAGCACGGAUAUAGUUGCAACUUUAUCAUUGGAGUACUUUUAACUAAAUCAUCCCUUGCACUAUAAGUCAUAAUAACAAAUUACUUGCCAACAAGUUAGAAUCUCCAGAAUGCACCAUUCCAAAUAACUAAAAUAAGAGCAAAAUUAUAUACUUCAACAACUAAUUAACGACCAAAAAAUUAUGGCUAGGAACAGAACACAGUAAACAGAAUACACAAAAUAACAAAUAUAUAUCACAUUUCCACAAUAACAAUUAACAUAAGCUGAUUACAUUACCGUAAAAAAACACAUAAAACCCUUCCAACUCUAAUAUACUUCUACUUCUAUCCCUAUCAAACAACACCUCAAAUGUUCUUCGCAUAUAAUUCCUACAUUUUUUGCUAUAAAUUACCCUACAGCACGACGAAGAUGCCCGGCCUGUGAUCGCAUAAUUGGGACCGUGUAUUGGGACGAGGAUAAAAAGAACAUCAUCGGUGUACCAGUUUCUUUCAGACAAAAGUGGAAGCGUUAAGCUCCUUUAAUAGGUCUUAGCAGAAAUGUAAUUAAAAAAUAACUGGGGUAUACUUGUCAUUUCACAAGUAUUAUUUAGGCAUAUUUUUCCCGUGGUUGGCUUAUUAUAUAUAGAAGUAGAUUGUUCUCGCCAAUUCAGUGGUGCGGAUAAAAAUGUUUGAUUCUUCUACAUACAUACCAAAAUUUAAUAUUUUUAUAUUAAUUCCCUAAUUUUUCUAAAUUAAUAUAUUUAUCAAUUCGCAGUUUCAGACCGAUACCGGAAGGAUAUGAUAAUAAAAUUUUCAUUUUAUAAAUUUCUUGUACAUUAAUCAAUACUAUGUUCUCUGUUCUUCCACCAAUAACUUCAUGAAAACAUUAACUUUGGCACCUAAGCAAAUCCUACAGAAAUCUGUAGACAACUGGUAAACUAAGAAAAAUCAUUCCAAAGUACAGACUCGAUCUUGGGUUAACAAACACAUAUUAUACAUCGUUUAGCUCAAUAAAUAAAUAGACAAAUAUAAAAACUACUUCAAGUAACUUGCACGUGCUGAACAUCAUCGAUUUUAAGUCUUUUGAGCCCUGAUUUUACAUGGGAAUAAGUAUAAGACAAUAUUGUAAAGAAUACAUAUGCAGAACUGCAUGGAAGAAGGUUAUCACUUUUAACUCGGUUCUUGCGAUUUCAAAAGUUCCACGAUGUGCUGCUUCGUUCCUUUUAUCUUUCUCUUUGUAGAAGCCAGUUUAAUUUUCAUAUUACCUUCUUGGUUAUCUUUUGUACAAGUGGUAUUGCAAGUGUUUUCAGAUUAAAAGCUAAGAGAAAACACCUUUAAAGUUAAAUUCUCAAAUUUUUAAUAUUUAAUCAAUGAUGGACAACAAAAACCAAUAUGAUGAUUAAUUCCUAACAACAAUCUUAUCAUGUCUUUUUAGAAAUAAAAUGAUAUACAGGUAUGGGAAAAAAGACGCAAGAACUACAGGUUAAACUAAUAUAUUUGGGUCAAUGCAUAAUUAUAGGGAAAUCAUUUAUAUGUUAAUGAAUUAAGUAAGAAGUAGAUCUACCUUCAGCAAUUGUGUGCUCUUCUGAUGUUCUCUCGCACACAGUUGGCCGAGUCACAAGGAAUCCCUCGCAGUGGUCACAAAUUAUCUCCCAUUUAAUAGGUGCAAUUUCAUUAAAUGGGUUGCCAGCCUUUGGGUUCUUUUGCCUCAUAUCAGCUGCAUGACCACUGGACACAAAGAGUACAUUGGACAUAUAAAGCUUGUUAGAGAGAUAAAGAUUGAAUGUCAUGAUUUUGCAUAUACUGUAUGAAGUUUGUACAUGUAACAAAUAAUUUUUGUUAGUCUUACAAAUAUCAAGCAAAGUGGGAAUUCCGCAACGAAUAUGUUGGCAUUUCUCGUUGUCCACUUUGAGGCGGGUUUGGUAGAACUACUGUUUUCCCUUGCCAACCUGACAUAAUGAAUUUCAAUAUUUCACGAAUUACAUAUUCUAUGCAUUAAUUAAAAAAUUGACAGAUAUGAGAGUACUUAAAUAUUAAUAUAUGUGCUCUUAGAUAUCACAACAAAUAAAGUUCAUAUGGAAACUUAUAAAAGUAAAUGCACAACAUACAUAUAUAAUUGAUCCCAAUUGCACGAUAGCGCUGAUUCAAAUGGAUCCUCCCUCGAUGUUUUAAUUUAAAUAAGAGGCCAUUUGGAGACAUGCAUUUCAUUUCAAAUGACAAGAUUUAAGUUGUCAUUUCAAACACUCAAAUUUAUACAAAUAUUUGAAUGUCUGGAUUUCAAAUGAAAUCCAAAUCCACAUUCCCAAUCAGAUUAUUUGAUCAAAUCCAAAAUUUCAAAUGAAAUCCAAUUUUCCAAACAGGCCAUAAAUGUAAUCCAACAAGAUACAAUAAAAUCUUAUCAACAAUAUCUGGAUUCUUAAUGACCAUUAAUCGUUCAAUUUCGAGAUUAUGGCUUCCCUUUAUCAUCUCUCCAAUAAGAGAAAGAAUUUUCAUAGAUAGAGAUCGAAAUGUGGUUUAGUUUUUCAAUUACCUUCCAUAUUAUAGUACAAGAAAAAGGGCGCUCAAAACUAACACAAAUCACCCACUUAUGUUAUGACAAAAUAUUCUGAUACAGCUAACCAACACAACCAAGGGCACAAUAUAUCAUAGGGUUAGUUACCAGCAUUCAAAACCCAUCAAUAAAUCUAACCACGUAUAUGUUCAAAACAGACCACAAAAAAUUCCGAUCAAGGACACGAUCUAUCAUCAGCAUAAAGCCGACCACUACCAAUUGUCACAUAUAUGUUCAAAACAGACCACAAUUAAAUGGCAUUUAGCUAGUCCAUUAAACAAGCCUUUCAUUACAAGUAUCAGAAUGUUACCCAAUCAGGCAGAUCAUUGUUUUGUUUUUCUGGAGCAUCUUCUUCAUUGUUUACUGCAAGAAGAAAUCUGAUAAUUAGUGUAUUUCAAAUUAGAUAAAUUAACUAUUAAACAAUCAGAAUUGAGAAAUCUAGGGCUUAAAAACACAACAUAUAUACCUGUUUUUAAACUUCGAAACAGAUAGCAUCACGAAACGAUUCAGCACUUUACACUCAAAUAGAUACAUACACACACGAUUAUCAUAGAUCGUUGCGGCGAUGCCCUAAUCUAGGCGAUGCCCUAAUGUAAUUGAGAAGCUGCCGCCUUAACCUACACGACGAGUGAUUUUAUACCUAAAAAUAAAUUGGGUUAACUAAAAGGCCUGGGCUUUCUUACGAGUAUUGGAUUUUUCCGUGAGUUAUUUUAUAAAAGGUCCAAGUACAUGUCAUACAUAACUCAUGGGCUUUCUUAUGAGUAAUGGACUUUUUCGUGAGUUAUUUUAUAAAGGGUCCAGGUACAUGCUAUACAAUAUACAUAAUUCAGGACCACAGCUUCUUGGCCAUUGGAUCUAGCGAUGAGAAUUAUAACAAAAAUUUGAUAUGUCCGGCGCAAGAAGAAAGACCCUCAACGCUUUUUAACUGUUGGACAGGAAAAAUGACCAUGUCCAUGAUUAAAAAACGCCGGACAUAACUUGUUCCGUGCUUAAAAAAUGCUAUCAUGACUCUUGAAUAUUCAUCGAACGGUCAUAAACCAGUGUGUUGGUUAAGGCUUCCUCGCAUACAUAUGUCAGGGACCAACUCCCUUUAUACAAUGUGUCGGUAGAUAGAGUAGAAAGGCUAGGAUAAAAUAAUGAGAAUUGAGAACAAAUAUGUCAUUGUUAGCUUAGCGUUAAGUGUCCAAAAUUUAUUCCUAUAUUUUUUCUCAAAUCUAUUGGAUAAUGUGCGAUUGAUUACUUAUAUAAUAAUAAAUAUGUAUAUAAAUCACCCAGUUAAAAUCCGUCAUGUGGUUUGGGAAAAAUAAAAUUGAGGACGAAUUUUGAGGUACAUAGUAUUUUUCCAAACAAAAUAUCAUUAUUAAAUCAAUAACAAGGAAUUUUUAUCCUCUUCAUAUCAAGGUUUAUAGCAUAUUUUUAUAAAUUUGCACAUAAUAAUUAUAUAUAUUUUUUAUACUUUUUAUGAAAUAAAAAGAGUCGUGAAUAUUUUUUGUCGAAAAAUAGUAAACGCAGUUAAACACCUCAUCACAAACAGAAAUAUCACAUGAGUACCCGCAAGGGUUAGUUCAGCUGGUUAAAGAGGGGACAUGUAUUCUCUUGGUCACACACUCAUAGGUUCGAGUCCCGAAGGGAGCGGGGUUCCUACGUUAAAAAAUAUAUAAAAUAAAAAAUAAAAAAAAUAUCACAUGAGUCAAUAUCCAUAAAUUAUAGUUAAAUUAUACGCAUUUUAACUAGUCUUAAUAAUUUACAAAAAUUAUUUACAAAUUUAUUAUAUAUCAUAAGAUUGAUCCAAGCCAGUGAAGAUAGUUAAGAUGAUUUUGGUAGUAGGUUGAAUAAUAUCAAAUCAUGUUAAAAAAUAACAUAGAAAAAAUUUACGUAUUCAAUUAUAAAUUUUAAAUAGAAAAUACCCGAAUAUCAUGUACUUCGAACCAUAAUCUAAUUCAGGUAAAUAUUUAUUUGGAUAUAAUUGAUUAUGGAUUAUCAAAAAUCUAGUAUUUCGAUUUUAUUUGGGUUAACUUUCCGAUUCACAUAUUUUUUUUUAUCAAAAUCAAAUCGAUUUUCGAAUUCUAAUCAAAUUUGAUUAUAUUAGAGCAUCUCCAACGACGUUGGUUAUAAUCGCUGGCUAAAUGGGACCUGUAAGACAUUAUGUAAAAUUUGCUAAACCUGUAAGAGCAUCUCCAACCAUCUAAAACCCUUGGCUAAAAAAUGAGUUGGCAUACUUAAAAUAAAAAAAUUUAGCCAACAGCUCCAAAACUCAACUCCAACCAUGCUCACCUGUUGUCUAUAAAUUUAGCCAACCUCCUAUGGAUGGCUAAAUUUGUCGAACCUCUACAGGUCUGUAAGAAAAUCUGUAAGAAGAUUAUACAUCAUUUAUUACCAUAUUGAACUGAUAUAUUAUAUUUUAACAAUUUAAAAUAUUAAUAACAUACUAUUUUUAAAUUAUAGCCAACCAAUAUAGCCAAUACCAUUGUAGCAAAAUGUAUUACAGGUUUAAUAAAUUUUANNNNNNNNNNNNNNNNNNNNNNNNNNNNNNNNNNNNNNNNNNNNNNNNNNNNNNNNNNNNNNNNNNNNNNNNNNNNNNNNNNNNNNNNNNNNNNNNNNNNNNNNNUAAUCGGAUUUGGGCUUCUACCAAACCUAAUCCGAUUUUGGUUUUAAUAUUAAAUUCGAAAUUCUAAUUACUUAAUUAAGACUGGCUCAAUUAAAUAAUUUACUUCGAACUUAAUCAUUUAAUUUAAAUUCAGAAUUUAAAUUAAAACUCCUUUAAACGUUCAAAGUGUGUGACCCUUUAGGUUAUUAUUACGUUGGCAAUAAUUUUAAUAUCCAAUAAUAAAAUUAUAAACAAUGAGCGGCAUCUAGUAAUACAUCAUUGCUACCCAAGUAAUAAUAAUAAUUGGUGAUUCAAUUAAACCUUUUGUGAAUAAUGUACAAUGUAAUAUAAUCCCUUUAACCUUAUAUUAUAGAUCAGACUCAAGGCAUGUAUUGUGUCAUCCUCUUCAUCGUCUAAUCCGAAUUUCCUUGAUCAAUGAGUAGACUAUUAAACAAAUCAAUAUUUGAGCACGGCCAUGCAUUUUAUAGUCUCACUCAAUCAAGAGGCCAAUAAUAUCACUCCUAAAAUAGGAGGGUUAAAUCCUUUAUAGAUCAUUCAUAUUUCUCAUAUGAUUCAUAAUAUACCCAAUGUACAUUUCAUCAUUACCCGGUCAAAGGUAACUUUUAGUGCAACCAAAGUAUAUUAAUUCUCAUAUAGAAAUAUAAUGAUAUCAAGUCAGAGGAUCAUUACAUCAUUAUCACAGUGAGAAUUUCCAAUGACACUUAUUAACAUGUAAAAUCUCACGGUGGGUCAUUCCAGUGCCAUGUGUCGAUACAUGCACUUAUGUUCUUGACUUUAGCAUCACUAUACCUAUGAUCAAUGAGAUGUGAUCAUCAGUCAACAAACAUACUAGUCUUAAUGCAUCAUUAUUGUCCCUUAACAAUAAUACUCGACUAGGGACAUUUAGGAAUAUUGAUAUUAUUCUCAUAAUCUCAUUUCUAAGUCACGUACUUAGAGAUAUAGAAUUACAUAUAAUAUUCCAAGGACAUUUAUUAUGCUUUCAAUUUAUUACGCAGUAAAUAAAGACAUAAUAAAUAUUUAUUCAAUAAUCAAUAUAACAUAAUCCAUAAAUGUCUACGAUAGAACACAAUAGUAUUGUCUCUAGGACACCAAUACUAACAAUUGGUACAGUUAACACAUUAAUAUACAUACGUGCAUAAAUGAAUGUAUAUACAAAUUUCACUAGAAGAUCAUAUCCAUAGUGGCAUCACUCGUUAGCCUGAUAGAUAUCAAUACAAGGACUCGCACAUAUUUGAAAAAACAACUUGUAUCUAAGUUGUACUUCUGAGCAGCUUUGGUAGGGCUGAUUUGCCAAGCUACCUUUCGAAACUUCUUGAUUCCGAAGUUAUAUUUCCCUCGGGCAUUCCAUGACAGCAACAUUCCAAAGACUCGAAGACAGAAAAAAUGCAGACCUUGCAACUGGGAAUCACGGCCUUUAUUAUCUCCGCUGCUGUUAUCGGCCUCUUGAAUUCUUUUUACAGUAUGUCUUACAGUAUUUUUGGGCAACUAAUCAUCGGCAAGAACAAUUUGUGCUCGACAAACACUGAUUUACUGAGAUAUGAUGGUAUCUCUGACACCUGAGAGUUCAAUAUUUGGGAAGUCGGGUAUCAGUUCGAUAAUGAAUACCUUACUAUAGAAUGCGGAACAAACAGUCUUAAUGAUCUGUAAAGACUUAUACCACACUAAAUUGACAGAGCAAAACAUGAACAUUUACAUUACAGUAUGCAGAGUAACAAGGACAGCAUAAAUAUCCAGCAUGCUAAAGUAAAAUAAUCAAAUUUGUGAAAGAAACAAUACGAACUAUGAAGCAAUAAUCCAAUUAUUAGGCAAAGAAACCCAUACAUAAUCUCAUAGUGGAAGACUAUCAACUUAACUAGUCAGUUACAUUUUAUGUGUUCUGGUUCUUCAUGUUCACGUUCGUCUCUUAGUUUUCACUAGUGCUCUUGAUGAUUGUGUGCGAUUCUUGGAUGGUGGCGAUGGAAGUGGUGUAGUGGUGACUUAAUUAGUGCGCGUUGUAAUAUUAGAUUAUUCUGAUUGACUAUUUUUAUUGCGUGAUAUUAGUUUUAGCUUUGUAAUUUUGGAUAUGGUUAGGUUUUAAUGGUAGUAAUUGUAGAAUUUAAUUUUGGUUAUUUUUGAAUGACUAGUUGACUCUUUUAAAUUUGUUCAUUUUUGGAUUUUGACCUUUCUUUAAUUUGAAUUGUUGUGUUUUAUUAAAAGAUUAAUUGAUAGAAUCUUUAUUGCCGAUUAUUGUACUUGAAUUCCAUUAUUAUCAUAAAAGAUGGCUUUAUUGUGCCUUAAUGAGGUAUUACUGCACCAUUAAUAGUUUAUUGGUGUAUACCAAAUUUAUGUUGUGAUUAGCUAAAAUCGUGAUAAAUUUGUUUAUCAAGAUUUUGUUUUGUAUUUGAUUAGAUAUAUCUUAACUAUGCUUUCAGAUUUUAAUUAUAUUUUCUUAUCUAUAUUUUAAAUAUUUAUUGACAUAAUUAUCAGUUAUUUUUUGAUAGGAUUUAUAUUUUAUUAUGUAUAUAACCAAAGAGAUCUAAUUAUCUCUUUGGUGUAGAUUUUUUAAUGAUUUGUUUUACAUAAACUUUUGUUUUUACUUUCCUUAUUCUUUAAAAGUUAUAUUAUAUUCAUAUUUUUAUUUAUGAGUUUGCUAACGCUUUUUCUCUACCUUUUAGAUAGUUUUAUUAUUUUUGUUGUAUGUAUGAACUUAUUAUGUUUUCAUUUGUAUUUUAUUUUUUCAGGGUACGCGAGCGGAAGAUAGAAUGGCGGGACCUCUUAUGGGGUUUUCUUAUCGAAAAUUAAAGUUUUAUUGUCUAAGUGUCUUCGGUCAUCUCUGCAUGUCCGAGGGUUAGAUAUUAAACUUUCUUGAACGAAAAGAACUCCUUGCGGCGGAUUUUGUAUUCUGAUACAAUUCGUUAUACGAGAAAGUAUUUUGUGACAAAAAAAAUAUGUACAUUUGUAUCUCUAGUGUGUUGCCACACGAUACAGCAUUUAUUACUGCUGCCUGUACAAAAUCCAUGCAGUCUUGUAUUAAGAUGAUUACGUGUAUACCAUCAUGGCUACACAAAUAGAAGUCAAACUCAGUGGGAUGGCAGAUGGUCAUAUCUACAACAGUACCUGAUUAUACAUACAAAAGCCAGUUAUUUGCUAAUCAGACUAAUAAAGAUUUUUAAAGAUGCAAUAGAACAAUAUGUAACCAGGUGAUAUGUUGCCACUCCGAUCAGUUGAUUUCCUGUCAUUGUAAAUAAUUUGAUUGCAGCGCCUGGCAGACCUUAAAAACAGAUAUAUCUUCCCAUUCAUCAAACUUCAACCAUAGGGGUAACAAGUGAAGUUACGAUCACAAUCACGAUACACAACAAAAGAGAAAUCAAGACGGGGCGUUGUAAUUGGAUCAGCGCUUUGUCUUGCUCGCGCAGAUUGUCGUACUCGUGCUUUGGCAUAAAGGCUUGCCGGAGAGCGUUGUUGAAUAACGCCAUGGAUAUGUGUUGUUUGAUUUGGGGAUUAGGGUUCGGAGAUGACAAGUUAAUUGACUGUCAUGUACUCCCUCCGUCCCAAUGAAUUGUAUACAGUUUCCUUUUUGGACGUCCCACCAAUUGUAUACAUUCCAAAAGUAGUAAACUUUUAUAAUAUAAAACAUCAUUACACCAACUACUUUCUUCCACCGUCUUCAUUCUAUAAUAAUAUAAACACUAUUACACCCACUACUUUUCUUCACUAUCUCAAAUCUAUAAUUAAAUAUAAAUGGGUCUCAUCACUAUACUCACUUUUCACAUAACUUUACUCAUUUUUUACCUUUUUUCCAGAUCUCCGUGUCCCUGGGACGGAGGGAGUACUUAGAACAAGUCAUGUGGUUGAUGUACCCAGUGCAGGCAUAAAAUAAUCUGAAACCGAUUUAGUCCGGUCAUAAAUAAAUCUAAAACCGACUUAAUCACGCGCAUAAAUUAAUCGGGAAUAAUAUAAAGGUCCAAAACGAAUAAUAUUAAUAUUGUUUAUUAUUCUCCAAAUUUUAGUUAAUUUAUUAUUUUUGAGAGAUAAUUCUGUAUGUAUUUUUAAUUUUUAUAAAAUAUAAUUUCAUAAAUAAUUUGAUGGAAAAAUUUCUAGAUAUAAUUAAAAUUUUAAUUUCAACUAAAAUAGGAAAAUGACAAAAUGAGUCAUGAAAUUAUAUUUUAUAAAAAUUUAAAAUAUAAAUAAGGAAAUUCUUACAAAAUUAUAAACAUAUAUAUAUAUAUAUANNNNNNNNNNNNNNNNNNNNNNNNNNNNNNNNNNNNNNNNNNNNNNNNNNNNNNNNNNNNNNNNNNNNNNNNNNNNNNNNNNNNNNNNNNNNNNNNNNNNNNNNNNNNNNNNNNNNNNNNNNNNNNNNNNNNNNNNNNNNNNNNNNNNNNNNNNNNNNNNNNNNNNNNNNNNNNNNNNNNNNNNNNNNNNNNNNNNNNNNNNNNNNNNNNNNNNNNNNNNNNNNNNNNNNNNNNNNNNNNNNNNNNNNNNNNNNNNNNNNNNNNNNNNNNNNNNNNNNNNNNNNNNNNNNNNNNNNNNNNNNNNNNNNNAUUGUUUUUGUUUAAACUCUAAUCAAUUUGAUUUUGUUUGUUUAAACUCUAAUCAAUUUGUUUCGUGACAAAUUCAUAUGUCGCAUUCUAGCUUUCUCAUCGGUAUUACAUUCAAUCAUACAGAUUAUUACAAACAUCGUUAAGAUAUUCUAUAUUAUGAAUUAUAUAUUUUGAACAAGCAUCGUUAAGAUUUUCAUCUAUAUUUUUUAUUUUCUUAAAAUUAAUAUAUUUAACUAAUCAUCACUUGCUUGUACAUUCAUCUAACAAUAAAAUGUUUUAUGUUCUUCCAUCACUAAGAUCACAAAAACAUCCAACUUCGGCACCUAAACAAAUGUAAUAUAACCCGGAAGAAAAUUGGUAAAUUAUGAACCACUGUUCCAAAAUGCAGAAUCCUGUUUUAACACACACAAGCUUAUUAUAUACAUUAUACAGGUCAAUAAAUAAACAGACAAAUACUAGAAAUACUUCAAGUAACUUAACGGUUACUUGAACAUCAUCUAUUUUAAGUCUUUUGAGCCCUGAUCUUACAUAGGAAUAGCGGGCCUUAGAAAAUUGUUUUUCAUCAUUUUAGCGGGCCUUAGAAAAUUGUUUUUCAUCAUUUUGGAGCAUCAUCUUCAUUGUUUACUGCAAAUCAUCUUCUUUGUUUACUGCAAAGAAGAAUGUGAAAAUCAAUGACUUUCAUACUAGAAAAUUUAAUAAAUUUCAAGCACAUUAUAACUUAACUAUAAGCAUACCUUCACCAUUUAUGAGCCAUCCGUCUCCCGGAUAUUAUUAAACAAAACAAUCUUUACGUGAAUAAGAUUGUAUUGAGUUUGCUUUAUGGCAGGGUCCAAUCUUUACGUGAAUAAGAUUGUAUUGAGUUUGCUUUAUGGCAGGGGCGGCUAGGAGCUUAGCACAAAAUUCUAGCCACCUACAUAGAGCUCGCUGAGGGAAGAUGGAUUGUGCUUUGGAACAAGGUCGGAAAUGCCUAGAGGUGGUGCCAGCCUCUAGGUUCUUUUACCUCAUCAGCUGCAUAAACACAAACACUGGACACAGGGCACAGUGGACAUAUAAUAUAUCUUAGACAAAUAAGGACGGAAAUUUCAUAAUUUUGCAUAUAUUGUAGGAAGUGUACAUAUAAAAAUCAAUUUUGUUGUUAUACAAAAAUCAAGCGAUGGGUGAGGAAUACCAUCUCGAGAAAUGUUGGCAUUUCUCUUUGUCCACUUGGUGCCAAUUUUGGUAUAAUUAAUUUUAUUCCUUGCCGACCUGACAUAAUAAAUUUCAACAUUUCAUGAAUUACAUAUUCUACGCAUUAAUUAAAAAAAUUAACAAUUAUGAGACUACUUCAAACUAAUUUAUAUCCUUUCAGAUAUCACUAUAAAUAAAGUUCAUACAGAAACCUAUAAACGUAAAUGCACAGGCUACAUACAUAAUUUAUCACAAAUUGCAAGAUAGUGCCGCUUAGAUGCAUCCUCUAACAGUGUUUUGAAUUAAAUAAAUGUGAUUCAACAAGAUAUAACACAAUAGUAUAAACAAAAUCUGAAUUCUUAAUGCCCAUCCAUUGUUAAAUUUCGAGACUGUGUGGUUUCCCUUUAUCCUCUCUGUCCAACAAGCAAUGAUCUCUUAUAACAAUAGAAAGCUAAAGUAUUUCCAUAGACAUACAGAAAUCAGAAAGUAGUUUACUUUUCUAAUUAACUUCUACACUAUACUACAAGAAAAAGGGUGCUCAAAACAAACACAAAAUAUUCCGAUACAGUUUACCAACACAAUCACGAUAUGUUCAAAACAGACCACAAUUACCACAGGUCGUUCAAAACUAAUCACAAAUUACCCUUAUCCAGUGACAAAAUAUUCCGAUACAGCCAACCAACACAAUCAAGGGCACGGUCAAUCAUAAAAUAUUCCGAUACAGCUAACCAACACAAUCAAGGGCACGAUCUACCAGUUAUCGCAUAUAUGUUCAAAAGAGACUACAAUUAAAUGAGAUUUAGCUAGUCAAUUAAACAAGCCUUUCAUUGCAGAUCAGAAUUUUACCCACUGAGGCAGCAAUAGAACAAAGUUUUGUUUUUCUGGAGCAUCUUCUUCAUUGUUUACUGCAACAAAAAAAGCGAUAAUUAGCGAGUUUCUAAUCAGAUAAAUUAGCUAUAAAACAAUCGGAAUUGAGAAAUCUAAGGCUUAAAAACACGAUACAUAUACCUGUUUUUGGGCGUCGAAAAGAAUAACAUAACGAUUUUGAAACAUCGAUCCAGCGAUUCAGCACUGAAUUAAGAAUACACUCGGCGUGCCCUAGUCUAAUUGGGAAGCCGCCGCCUUAACCUGCACGAGGAGUUUACAGGUGAUUUUAUUCCUAAAACAUAUGGGCUAGGGUUUCUUAUGAAUAAUCUGAAUGGGCUUUUUUUAAGUGAUGGGCUAGAGUUUAAUCUGAAUAAUCGGAAUGGGCUUUUUUUAAGUGAUGGACUGUUAUUGUGAUUGUUCAUAAACACGUUUGACAGUUUUUAUUUUGAAUCAGAUUAGAUGAUGGUGAAAAGCUCGGUGGCGAUAUAUACUGAUUUUCUUCACUAAAUCAUGGAUCAAGUUCUCCGUAGUUUAAAAUUUUUAAAAAUGUUGAAAGUUUUGAUAUUUAAGCAAAUUUAUUUUAAAAUAUAUGAUAAUAAAUCCAUUUAUAAAAAAAAUAAUAAAUUUAAAUUUAAUAUUAAAAUAUGUAUCAUAUUAUAAAAAAAUAUUAAACAAAAAUAAAUAAAAUCCAUCAAUUAUAGGUAUAAGGUUUGAAAAAGAUAUAAUUUAUUUUUAAAUAUUAAAUAUAUGUCUGCUAAAUUUUAUUUUGUAUAAUAAUAUUAAUUAUUUAGCAUGCAAUUUAUAUCAAAAUAUAAUAAUCGAAAAUAUGGAUAUUUUGUAGUUUGAAUCACUUUUCACUAAAUUUCAUAUCAAAGUUUUUGAUAUACAUUUUUUCAAAAAAAAUAUGAUCAUAGUCUCGGAAAAAAAAGUAAGUCUUUUCCUAUAUCAAAAUAUUUUAAAUGAAUUUUUAAAUUCUAAUUUGAUAUUUAUUAAUGUAGGCAGUUUUUAUUUUUGAUAUAUUGAAAAAAUUAGUUUUGAAAUUUUCCUCCAAUAUAUCCGAAACUCAAAAAAGGUAAUUUUUAUUUUUGAUAUUUUCAAAAUUAAAAAUAUAAUUCGAAACUUUCUUCCAAUAAUUUUGAUACAGAAAAAGGUAGGUAGAUUUUAUUUUUGAUAUACUGAAAAUGAUAGUUCUAAAAUUUGCUUCUAAUAUACCCGAAACUAAAAAAGUAGUUUUUAUUUUUGAUAUUUUUCAUCCAAAAAUUUCAGAAAAUUGGAGGAAAAAAAGUAAGUUUUUUUUUCGAUAUCAAAAUAAUCGAAAAGAAAUUUCAAAUUCUGAUUUGAUAUUUAUUAAGUUAGUUAGUUUUUAUUUUUGAUAUAUAGAAAAAUGAGGUUUUGAAACUUUCCUUCAAUAUCCGAAAUUGAAAAUGGUGAUUUUUAUAAAAAAAAAGUAAUGUAGAUAGGUAGAUUUUAUUUUUGAUAUUUUGAAAAAGAUAGUUCUAAAUUUACUUCAUCGCGUAAUAUAUUAUUUAUGUUCCAAUAGGCAUAAUCACAAAUUCUGCUCACUCGAAGUCGAGUCCAACCCGUGACCAAGGAUACAAGUCUUCGCUUUUAACCUAGUUGAACCAACCCUUUCCGGCAAAAUAUGUAUUUGAUAUGGGGCUAAAAAUGCAAAAACCGAAACGAAAAUGAGAUAUAUUUGAGGCAUAUGGUCGAAAAGCUUGAACAUGUUUGUAAGUUUUCUAAAUUAGGGUGAGACUCUUUUAUAUAUUUCUAAAUUAUAAAAAAUCGUGUUUUUCAACCCCCCCUUUUUGGGACACAGUUUAAACUUUAAACCUCAUUAUCUUUGUAUCACCAUCAAAAUGAGAUCAUUCAUCUUUUUAUAACCGUCAUAAUUAACUUUGGAAGAUAUAAAGUUCUCAUAUUGACUUGCAUAGGAAACUGGAAGCUCAUACUAAUAUCAAUAAAUCUUCGCGUACAUCCUUAUGCACUACUAAUUCACUACCUAUAAUUUAGGAAUAGUUCUAACUUAUACCCACGGCUAAGUCUUCAGGAUUUCUUAUCACUUCAGGUUAACUGUAAAUUAAAAAUACACUUACAAAAAUUAUAACCUAAAUCUUUUUUUUUUCUAUUUUAUUUAUUUAAUUUAUUAUCACAUAUUUCACUUUUAUUAUAUAACCUUUAUAUAAUUUAAUGAGCCUAAUAUAUCUAUAAAAUAACUAAUAUAUAUUCUUUAUUAUAAAAUUUUAAAGUAAUAUAUUCUUCAUACUAAUAUAUUCUUUUACAUUUGUAAAAUUUGACAUUCUUUAUUAUAAAAUUUUAAAAGUAAUAUUAAUUACAUAUACGUCAAGUGAGUAGCAUGUAAACAAUGAAUUUUUUUUACAAAGUGCUGAAUCGAUCCUCUGUCAUCACACAAACGUAUUAUAUACAUUAUAUAGGUAAAUAAAUAAACAGACAAAUAUAAAAACUACUUGAGUAACUUAGAUUUUAAGUCUUUUGAGCAUUGAUGUUACAUAGAAAUAAGAAUAAGACAAUAUGGUAAGGAAUACAUUGGUAGGUUAAACUACUUGGAAAAAAUCAUCUACGUUGCCAGCUUUUAACUUAGUUCUUGCAAUUUCAAAAGUUCCCGAUAUGUCGCGUUGUUUUAUCUUCAACGAAAUAACCAAGUAGACAAGCAGUAGCUUCUUAAUAGCAGAUAAGUAGCAGAUUAGCCAGCCUUAGAUAACUGUUUUCCAUCUUUUUGGAGCAUCAUCUUCAUUGUUUACUGCAAGAAAAAAUUUGAAAACCAGUGAAUUGAAUACUAGAAAACUUAAUAGAUUUUCAAGUACAUUAUAACUAUAUAACAAGCAUACCUUCACCAUCUCUGAGCCAUACGUAUCCCGGAUAUUAAACAAGAGAUAAUCUUCACGUGAAAAAAGAUUGUACUGAGUUUGUUUUACAAUACCUCAAAGUGUGUACGAAAACCUACCUUUAAAAAGAAGCAAAGAUAUAUCAAAACUAAUAACUUUCAACCAAACUAUACAAUAUACAAUAUAGUACGACAGAGAGUUUAAUACUUCCUCUGUCCCGGUUACAUUUUAACCGAUGUUUGACUUUUUAACACGUAUAUUGAGAUGCAAAAAAAUAAUAUCUACACUGAAUAAAAAAAAAUUCAAUUCUUAUACCAAAUAAUAGUUUAGAUUCUAAACGUUUAAUUUAUAUGUAUUUUAUAAAGAAUUAUUAUGUUUAGAUGUGAUUUUCUUAACACCUUAAAAUACAUGUAAAAAAGUCUAAAGCAGUUAAAAUGAGACGGAGAGAGCAUAUAGAACAAGAUAUUUGUGUGCACAUAAAGUCUCUUACCUCAACAAUAUUUCCUCUAGGAAGGCCGACACCCAAUGCAAUGUCCAAUGUCAGACAUGCCAACAAGUUAGAAUCUCCAGCAUGCACCAUUCCAAAUAACUAAAAUAAGAGCAAAAUUAUAGACUUCAAACAACUAAUUAACGACCAAAAAAUUAUGGCUAGGAACAGGAUACAGUAAACAGAAUACACAAAAUAACAAGUAUAUAUCACAUUUCCACAAUGACAAUUAACAUAAGCUGAUAACAUUACCGUAAAAAAACACAUAAAACCCUUCCCACCACUAAUACACUUCUUCUAUCCCUGUCAAACAACACCUCAAAUGUUCUUCGCAUAUAAUUCCUACGUUUUUUGCUAUAAAUUACCCUACAGCACAACGAAGAUGCCCAGCCUGUGAUCGCAUAAUUGGGACCGUGUAUUGGGACGAGGAUGAAAAGAACAUCAUCGGUGUGUAUCGGUUUCUUUCAGACAAAAGUGGAAGCGUUAAACUCCUUUAAUAGGUCUUAGCAGAAAUGUAAUUAAAAAAUAACUGGGGUAUGCUUGUCAUUUCACAAGUACUAUUUAGGUAUAUUUUUCCCGUGGUUGGCUUAUUAUAUAUAGUAGUAGAUUGUUCUCGCCAAUUGAGUGGUGCGGAUAAAAAUGUUUGAUACUUCUACAGACAUACCAAAAUUUAAUAUUUUUAUAUUAAUUCCCUAAUUUUUCUAAAUUAAUAUAUUUAUCAAUUCGCAGUUUCAGACCGAUACCGGAAGGAUAUGAUAAUAAAAUUUUCAUUUUAUAAAUUUCUUGUACAUUAAUCAAUAAUAUGUUCUCUGUUCUUCCACCAAUAACUUCACGAAAACCUUAACUUUGGCACCUAAGCAAAUCCUACAAAAUCGGUAGAAAAUUGGUAAACUAAGAAAAAUCAUUCCAAAGUACAGACUCGAUCUUGGGUUAACAAACACGUAUUAUAUACAUCGUUUAGCUCAAUAAAUAAAUAGACAAAUAUAAAAACUACUUCAAGUAACUUGCACGUGCUGAACAUCAUCGAUUUUAAGUCUUUUGAGCCCUGAUUUUACAUGGGAAUAAGUAUAAGACAAUAUUGUAAAGAAUACAUAUGCAGAACUGCAUGGAAGAAGGUUAUCACUUUUAACUCGGUUCUUGCGAUUUCAAAAGUUCCACGAUGUGCUGCUUCGUUCCUUUUAUCUUUCUCUUUGUAGAAGCCAGUUUAAUUUUCAUAUUACCUUCUUGGUUAUCUUUUGUACAAGUGGUAUUGCAAGUGUUUUCACAUUAAAAGCUAAGAGAAAACACCUUUAAAGUUAAAUUCUCAAAUUUUUAAUAUUUAAUCAAUGGUGGACAACAAAAACCAAUAUGAUGAUUAAUUCCUAUCAACAAUCUUAUCAUGUCUUUUUAGAAAUAAAAUGAUAUACAGGUAUGGGAAAAAAGACCCAAGAACUACAGGUUAAACUAAUAUAUUUGGGUCAAUUCAUAAUUAUAGAUAAGGGAAAUCAUUUAUAUGUUAAUGAAUUAAGUAAGAAGUAGAUCUACCUUCAGCCAUUGUGUGCGCUGCUGAUGUUCUCUCGCACACAGUUGGCCGAGUCACAAGGAAUCCCUCGCAGUGGUCACAAAUUAUCUCCCAUUUAAUUGGUGCAAUUUCAUUAAAUGGGUUGCCAGCCUUUGGGUUCAUUUGCCUCAUAUCAGCUGCAUGACCACUGGACACAAAGAGUACAUUGGACAUAUAAAGCUUGUUAGAGAGAUAGAGAUUGAAUAUCACGAUUUUGCAUAUACCGUAUGAAGUUUGUACAUGUAACAAAUAAUUUUUGUUGUCUUACAAAUAUCAAGCAAAGUGGGAAUUCCGCAACGAAAAUGUUGGCAUUUCUCGUUGUCCACUUUGAGGCGGGUUUGGUAGAACUACUGUUUUCCCUUGCCAACCUGACAUAAUGAAUUUCAAUAUUUCACGAAUUACAUAUUCUAUGCAUUAAUUAAAAAAUUGACAGAUAUGAGAGUUCUUAAAUAUUAAUAUAUGUGCUCUUAGAUAUCACAACAAAUAAAGUUCAUAUGGAAACUUAUAAAAGUAAAUGAACAACAUACAUAUAUAAUUGAUCCCAAUUGCACGAUAGCGCUGAUUCAAAUGGAUCUUCCCUCGAUGUUAUAAUUUAAAUAGGAGGCCGUUUGGAGACAUGCAUUUCAUUUCAAAUGACAAGAUUUAAGUUGUCAUUUCAAACACUCAAAUUUAUACAAAUUUUUGAAUGUCUGGAUUUCAAAUGUAAACCAAAUCCACAUUCCCAAACAAAUUAUUUGAUCAAAUUCAAAAUUUCAAAUGAAAUCCAAUUUCCCAAACAGGCCAUAAAUGUAAUCCAACAAGAUACAAUAGAAUCUUAUCAACAAUAUCUGGAUUCUUAAUGACCAUUAAUCGUUCAAUUUCGAGAUUAUGGCUUCCCUUUAUCAUCUCUCCAAUAAGAGUAAGUAUUUUCAUAGAUAGAGAAUAAAAAUUAGUUUAGUUUUUCAAUUACCUUCCAUAUUAUAGUACAAGAACAAGGGCGCUCGAAAUUAACACAAAUUACCCACUUAUGUUAUGACAAAAUAUUCCGAUACAGCUAACCAACACAACCAAGGGCACAAUAUAUCAUAGGGUUAGUUACCAGCAUUCAAAACCCAUCAAUAAAUCUGACCACGUAUAUGUUCAAAACAGACCACAAAAAAUUCCGAUCAAGGACACGAUCUAUCAUCAGCAUAAAGCCGACCACUACCAAUUGUCACAUAUAUGUUCAAAACAGACCACAAUUAAAUGGCAUUUAGCUAGUCCAUUAAACAAGCCUUUCAUUACAAGUAUCAGAAUGUUACCCAAUCAGGCAGAUCAUUGUUUUGUUUUUCUGGAGCAUCUUCUUCAUUGUUUACUGCAAGAAGAAAUCUGAUAAUUAGUGUAUUUCAAAUUAGAUAAAUUAACUAUUAAACAAUCAGAAUUGAGAAAUCUAGGGUUUAAAACACAAAAUAUAUACCUGUUUUUAGACUUCGAAACAGAUAGCAUCACGAAACGAUUCAGCACUUUACACUCUAGAUACAUACACACACGAUUAUCAUAGAUCGUUGCGGCGAUGCCCUAAUCUAGGCGAUGCCCUAAUGUAAUUGAGAAGCUGCCGCCUUAACCUACACGACGAGUGAUUUUAUACCUAAAAAUAAAUUGGGUUAACUAAAAGGCCUGGGCUUUCUUAUGAGUAUUGGACUUUUCCGUGAGUUAUUUUAUAAAAGGUCCAGGUACAUGUCAUACAUAAGUCAUCGGCUUUCUUAUGAGUAAUGGACUUUUUCGUGAGUUAUUUUAUAAAGGGUCUAGGUACAUGCUAUACAUAAUUCAGGACCACAGCUUCUUGGCCGUUGGAUCUAGCGAUGAGGAUUAUCACAAAAAUUUGAUAUGUCCGGCGCAAGAAAAAAGACCCUCAACACUUUUUAACUGUUGGACAGGAAAAAUGACCAUGUCCAUGAUUAAAAAACGCCGGACAUAACUUGUUCCGUGCUUAAAAAAUGCUAUCAUGACUCUUGAAUAUUCAUCGAACGGUCAUAAACCAGUGUGUUGGUUAAGGCUUCCUCGCAUACAUAUGUCAGGGACCAACUCCCUUUAUACAAUGUGUCGGUAGAUAGAGUAGAAAGGCUAGGAUAAAAUAAUGAGAAUUGAGAACAAAUAUGUCAUUGUUAGCUUAGCGUUAAGUGUCCAAAAUUUGUUCCUAUAUUUUUUCUCAAAUUUAUUGGAUAAUGUGUGAUUGAUUACUUAUAUAAUAAUAAAUAGGUAUAUAAAUCACCCAGUUAAAAUCCGUCAUGUGGUUUGGGAAAAUUAAAAUUGAGGACGAAUUUUGAGGUACAUAGUAUUUUUCCAAACAAAAUAUCAUUAUUAAAUCAAUAACAAGGAAUUUUUAUCCUCUUAUAUCAAGGUUUAUAGCAUAUUUUUAUAAAUUUUCACAUAAUAAUUAUUUAUAUUUUUUAUAUGAAAUAAAAAGAGUCGCGAAUAUUUUUUGUCGAAAAAUAGUACUCACCGCAGUUAAACACUUCAUCACAAACAGAAAUAUCACAUGAGUACCCGCAAGGGUUAGUUAAGCUAGUUAAAGAAGGGACAUGUAUUCUCUUGGUCAGACACUCAUAGUUUCGAGUCCCGAAGGGAGCGGGAUUCCUACGUUAAAAAAUAUAUAAAAAAAAUAUCACAUGAGUCAAUAUCCAAAAAUUAUAGUUAAAUUAUACGCAUUUUAACUAGUCUUAAUAAUUUACAAAAAUUAUUUACAAAUUUAUUAUAUAUCAUAAGAUUGAUCCAAGCCAAUGAAGAUAGUUAAGAUGAUUUUGGUAGUAGGUUGAAUAAUAUCAAACCAUGUUAAAAAAAUAACAUAGAAAAAAUUUACGUAUUCAAUUAUAAAUUUUAAAUAGAAAAUACCCGAAUAUCAUGUACUUCGAACCAUAAUCUAAUUCAGGUAAAUAUUUAUUUGGAUAUAAUUGAUUAUGGAUUAUCAAAAAUCUAGUAUUUCGAUUUUAUUUGGGUUAACUUUCCGAUUCACAUAUUUUUUUUAUCAAAUCAAAUCGAUUUUCGAAUUCUAAUCAAAUUUGAUUAUAUUAGAGCAUCUUCAACGACGUUGGUUAUAAUCGCUGGCUAAAUGGGACCUGUAAGAUAUUAUGUAAAAUUUGCUAAACCUGUAGGACAUUUUCAUUCAGUGGUAUUGGCUAUAUUGGUUGAUUAUAAUUUAAAAAUAGUAUGUUAUUAAUAUUUUAGAUUGUUAAAAUAGAAUAUAUCAGUUCAAUAUGGUAAUAAAUGAUGUGCAAUCUUCCUACAGAUUUUCUUACAGACCUGUAGAGGUUCGACAAAUUUAGCUAUCCAUAAGAGGUUGGCUAAAUUUAUAGACAACAGAGCAUGGUAGGAGUUGAGUUUUUCGAGCCGUUAGACUAAAUUUUUUUAUUUUAAGUAUGCCAACUCAUCUUUUAGCCAAAGGUUUUUAAUGGUUGGAGAUGCUCUUAUAUUUGAUGUUAGUUUUCAUGUGAUUCUAAUCAUAUUUGGUUUAGAUGGGAUUCACUGUAUUAGUUUAUAUGCGAUUCUAAUAAGAUACUAAUUAUUAUAUAUUAAUAUAAAAAUUUUAUUAUCCCAUUUUUGAUCACUCAAUGAAAUAACAGUACUAUACCACAAAAUUUAUGGAUAUAUGUAAACAAGCAAAUUAGCUAAAAUAUCUUUGUUUCUUUUCUGUUUUGAAAAGUUUGAUAUUGCCAAAUACAAAAUUUUACAACAUUAUUUGGUGAGAUUUACUUAGAUUAACAGUUUUGUUGAUUAAAUCACAACACCAAAAUCAUAAUAAAUUAAGGUCAUUUUUGACAAUUUAAAAAACCUUUCAUUUUCUUAAUAUCGGUUAAAACCAACAUUGCCGUGAAUAAAAAUAUUAAAUGAUAAAUAUUUGGUACAGUUAACACAUUAAUAUACAUACGUGCAUAAAUGAAUGUAUAUACAAAUUUCACUAGAAGAUCAUAUCCAUAGUGGCAUCACUCGUUAGCCUGAUAGAUAUCAAUACAAGGACUCACACAUAUUUGAAAAAACAACUUGUAUCUAAGUUGUACUUCUGAGCAGCUUUGGUUGGGCUGAUUUGCCAAGCUACCUUUCGAAACUUCUUGAUUCCGAAGUUAUAUUUCCCUCGGGCAUUCCAUGACAGCAACAUUCCAAAGACUCGNUUGAUUCCGAAGUUAUAUUUUCCUUGGGCAUUCCAUAACAGCAACAUUCCAAAGACUCGAAGACAGAAAAAAUUGCAGACCUUGCAACUGGGAAUCACGGCCUUUAUUAUCUCCGCUGCUGUUAUCGGCCUCUUGAAUUCUUUUUAC
rnacentral:lncRNA from 1 species